rnacentral:tRNA from 1 species
ACUUUGUAGAGCAACAGUAGCUCGCUUGACUUCCAAUCAAGAGGUUGCAGGUGCGAUUCCUGCCAAGGGUA